GACGAACGCUGGCGGCGUGCUUAACACAUGCAAGUCGAACGAUGAAGCCUAGCUUGCUAGGUGGAUUAGUGGCGAACGGGUGAGUAAUACGUGAGUAACCUACCUUUAACUCUGGGAUAAGCCUGGGAAACUGGGUCUAAUACCGGAUACGACCAAUCUCCGCAUGGGGUGUUGGUGGAAAGCGUUAUGUAGUGGUUAUAGAUGGGCUCACGGCCUAUCAGCUUGUUGGUGAGGUAACGGCUCACCAAGGCGACGACGGGUAGCCGGCCUGAGAGGGUGACCGGCCACACUGGGACUGAGACACGGCCCAGACUCCUACGGGAGGCAGCAGUGGGGAAUAUUGCACAAUGGGCGCAAGCCUGAUGCAGCGACGCCGCGUGAGGGAUGACGGCCUUCGGGUUGUAAACCUCUGUUAGCAGGGAAGAAGAGAGAUUGACGGUACCUGCAGAGAAAGCGCCGGCUAACUACGUGCCAGCAGCCGCGGUAAUACGUANGGCGCGAGCGUUGUCCGAAUUAUUGGGCGUUAAGAGCUUGUAGGCGGUUUGUCGCGUCUGCUGUGAAAGCCGGGGCUUAACCCCGUGUAUUGCAGUGGGUACGGGCAGACUAGAGUGCAGUAGGGGAGACUGGAAUUCCUGGUGUAGCGGUGGAAUGCGCAGAUAUCAGGAGGAACACCGAUGGCGAAGGCAGGUCUCUGGGCUGUAACUGACGCUGAGAAGCGAAAGCAUGGGGAGCGAACAGGAUUAGAUACCCUGGUAGUCCAUGCCGUAAACGUUGGGCACUAGGUGUGGGGGACAUUCCACGUUUUCCGCGCCGUAGCUAACGCAUUAAGUGCCCCGCCUGGGGAGUACGGCCGCAAGGCUAAAACUCAAAGAAAUUGGCGGGGGCCCGCACAAGCGGCGGAGCAUGCGGAUUAAUUCGAUGCAACGCGAAGAACCUUACCAAGGCUUGACAUAUACUGGACCGCAUCAGAGAUGGUGUUUCCCUUCGGGGCUGGUAUACAGGUGGUGCAUGGUUGUCGUCAGCUCGUGUCGUGAGAUGUUGGGUUAAGUCCCGCAACGAGCGCAACCCUCGUUCUAUGUUGCCAGCACGUUAUGGUGGGGACUCAUAGGAGACUGCCGGGGUCAACUCGGAGGAAGGUGGGGAUGACGUCAAAUCAUCAUGCCCCCUAUGUCUUGGGCUUCACGCAUGCUANCAUGGGCGGUACAGAGGGUUGCGAUACUGUGAGGUGGAGCUAAUCCCUAAAAGCCCGUCUCAGUUCGGAAUGGGGUCUGCAACUCGACCCAUGAAGUCGGAGUCGCUAGUAAUCGCAGAUCAGCAACGCUGCGGUGAAAUACGUCCCGGGGCU
rnacentral:rRNA from 1 species